UCAAAAGUUCAGGAGGAAGAUGAAAAUAUUUAGAGGAAAAGAAAAAUGAAAACCUACCAAGAUUUUGUGACAGAAAGUGAGAUCAGAUCUCAGGUUGAAGAUGGUAAUUAAUGCUUAAAUACGCUUAAAGUAUGCCCCAGAUCGACAUAGUGUAGGAGGACGAAAGAAGCUAGAAUACUAAUGAAGAUACAAGAACAUUGCUAUUUAUA